GUCCUUUUGAAAUUAAUUUAAGGUCGGGCCUGCUCCCUGCUCAAAAGUAAAUAGCUGCAGUAUAAAUGACUGUACUAAGGUAGCAUAAUAAUUUGUCUUUUAAAUGAAGACUGGCAUGAACGGUCUGACGAGGAUUCAUCUGUCUCAAUUAUACUAAUCGAACUUAGAAUGAUGGUGAAAAUCCCUUCAUGAAGGAGGGGGACGACAAGACCCUUUAGAUCUAAAAAAAGGAGAAAAUUAAAUAUUAGAUUAAAUUUUAUUUCUUACAUUUGUUUGGGAAGAACCUUUGAUGAAAACUUCAGAUUAAAAAAAGAUCAGUAAAUCGAAAAAAAAAAUGGAUUAGAUCAAUAAUCUAAGAUUAGAAACUUAGAUACCUAAGGGAUAACAGCGUUAUCUGGUAUUCUAGACCGUAUAUUAUACUACGCUUGCGACCUCGAUGUUGAAUUAGGUUAAAAUAUUAAAGAAGAAAAUAAUAAUUUUUAGUCUGUUCGACUAUUAAAAACCU
rnacentral:rRNA from 1 species